rnacentral:rRNA from 1 species
GACGAACCGUGCGAACGUUGUUCGGAAUCACUGGGCUUAAAGGGCGCGUAGGCGGGUCUCCAAGUCAGGGGUGAAAUCUUUCGGCUCAACCGGAAAAGUGCCUUUGAUACUGGGGAUCUCGAGGGGGGUAGGGGCCUGCGGAACUUCCGGUGGAGCGGUGAAAUGCGUAGAUAUCGGAAGGAACGCCGGUGGCGAAAGCGGCAGGCUGGACCCUUUCUGACGCUGAGGCGCGAAAGCCAGGGGAGCGAACGGGAUUAGAUACCCCGGUAGUCCUGGCCCUAAACGAUGGGCACUGGGUCGUGGGCCAGCAUGGGCUCACAGCCGGAGCAAAAGUGUUAAGUGCCCCGCCUGGGGAGUAUGGUCGCAAGGCUGAA